rnacentral:rRNA from 1 species
AAUUUAAAGUCUAACCUGCCCACUGAUAAAUUUUAAAGGGCCGCAGUAUUUUGACUGUGCAAAGGUAGCAUAAUCAUUUGUCUUUUAAUUAAAGGCUAGAAUGAAUGGUUGGAUGAAAUAUUAACUGUCUCAUUUUUAAAAAUAUAAAAAUUUAUUUUUUUAGUUAAAAAACUAAAAUAAAUUUAAAAGACGAGAAGACCCUAUAGAUCUUUAUAAAUUUUAUUUGUAUAAAAAUUAGUUUAUAAAAUUAUUAUAUAUAAUAUAUUUAUUUUAUUGGGGUGAUAGGAAAAUUAAAUAAACUUUUUUUAUUAUAUAAACAAUGAUUUUUGAAUAUUUGAUCCAAUAGUAUUGAUUAUAAAUUUAAGUUACCUUAGGGAUAACAGCGUAAUUUUUUUUAAGAGUUCUUAUCGAAAAAAAAGUUUGCGACC